rnacentral:rRNA from 1 species
GAAGUUACCCUAGUAGCGGCGAGCGAGCGGGAAAAAGCUCAAAUUUGUAAUCUGGCGUCUUCGACGUCCGAGUUGUAAUCUCGAGAAGUGUUUUCCGUGAUAGACCGCAUACAAGUCUCUUGGAACAGAGCGUCAUAGUGGUGAGAACCCAGUACACGAUGCGGAUGCCUAUUACUUUGUGAUACACUUUCGAAGAGUCGAGUUGUUUGGGAAUGCAGCUCAAAUUGGGUGGUAAAUUCCAUCUAAAGCUAAAUAUUGGCGAGAGACCGAUAGCGAACAAGUACCGUGAGGGAAAGAUGAAAAGCACUUUGGAAAGAGAGUUAACAGUACGUGAAAUUGUUGGAAGGGAAACACAUGCAGUGAUACUUGCUAUUCGGGGCAACUCGAUUGGCAGGCCCGCAUCAGUUUUUCGGGGCGGAAAAGCAUAGAGAGAAGGUAGCAGUUUCGGCUGUGUUAUAGCUCUUUAUUGGAUUCGCCCUGGGGGACUGAGGAACGCAGCGUGCUUUUUGCAUGAGCUUCGGCUUAUCCACGCUUAGGAUGCGGGUUUAUGGCUGUAUAUGACCCGUCUUGAAACACGGACCAAAAAAAAAAAAAAAGAAUAAGUAAUUUUCGAAGUUGUCCUUACAAUCACACUUGAGUUUAUGGGUCUCCUUACAGUUUUGCUUCUUCUC